UACGGGGGGGGGCAAGCGUUGUUCGGAAUUACUGGGCGUAAAGGGCUCGUAGGUGGCCAACUAAGUCAGACGUGAAAUCCCUCGGCUUAACCGGGGAACUGCGUCUGAUACUGGAUGGCUUGAGUUUGGGAGAGGGACGCGGAAUUCCAGGUGUAGCGGUGAAAUGCGUAGAUAUCUGGAGGAACACCGGUGGCGAAGGCGGCGUCCUGGACCAACACUGACACUGAGGAGCGAAAGCCAGGGGAG
rnacentral:rRNA from 1 species